CCUGGCUCAGAACGAACGCUGGCGGCAUGCCUAACACAUGCAAGUCGAACGGGGUCGGAACUUCGGUUCCGGCUUACGUGGCGCACGGGUGAGUAACACGUGGGAAUCUGCCCAUCUAUGGGGAAUAACUGCGGGAAACUGCAGCUAAUACCGCAUACGCCCUUCGGGGGAAAGGCUUCGGCCGUAGAUGGAUGAGCCCGCGUCCGAUUAGCUAGUUGGUGGGGUAACGGCCUACCAAGGCGACGAUCGGUAGCUGGUCUGAGAGGAUGAUCAGCCACACUGGGACUGAGACACGGCCCAGACUCCUACGGGAGGCAGCAGUGGGGAAUAUUGGACAAUGGGCGAAGCCUGAUCCAGCAAUGCCGCGUGAGUGAUGAAGGUCUUCGGAUUGUAAAGCUCUUUCGACGGGGAAGAUAAUGACGGUACCCGUAGAAGAAGCCCCGGCUAACUUCGUGCCAGCAGCCGCGGUAAUACGAAGGGGGCUAGCGUUGUUCGGAUUUACUGGGCGUAAAGCGUGCGUAGGCGGCUUAUCAAGUCAGAAGUGAAAGCC
rnacentral:rRNA from 1 species